rnacentral:rRNA from 1 species
GACGAACGCUGGCGGCGUGCUUAACACAUGCAAGUCGAGCGGUAAGGCCCUUUCGGGGGUACACGAGCGGCGAACGGGUGAGUAACACGUGGGUGACCUGCCCUCAGCUCUGGGAUAAGCCUGGGAAACUGGGUCUAAUACUGGAUAUGACUCCACGGUGCAUGUCGUGGGGUGGAAAGCCUUGUGCGGCUGAGGAUGGGCCCGCGGCCUAUCAGC